GCCAGUUAGACACAGAGUAGCUGGAGGCAAGGGUGUUGGCAGAGACUGCGUGGGGAGGGGGCGUCUGGCAUUCAGGAAACCCCAUAAACGGGCAGGUAGGGGUGGAGGGAGGAGGAAGGGGCCAGGUGUGGGAUCGCCAAGUUGUCCCAGCAUUCCAGGCCAUUCUCUUUCCUGCCCCACCUCGGCUUUUGUUUUUUUUCUUUUUUAUUGAAGCUCGGUCAGUUACAAUGUGUCAGUGUCUGGUGUACAGCGCAAUGUCCCAGCCAUGCAUAUACAUGUAUUCAUUUUCAUAUUUUUCCCAUUUAAGGUUAUUACAAGAUACCCUUUUCUUUUUACUUUAUUAAUUUUGGGGGAGAGAGUAAUUAGGUUUAUUUAUUUAUCUUUAAUGGCGGUACCGGGGCUUGAACCCAGGACCUCGUGCAUUGCAAGCAUGCACUCUACCGCUGAAGCCUCCCCACUUCUUUUUAUUCCGGACCUACAGGAAAGUUGCAUAUAGUUUAAAGCAUCUCCAGGCCAUGUUCUGCCCUACCGCAGCCUCACUCACUCAAGUCAUUUCAUCUUCUUAAAGCCAGACUCCCAGACUGUCUCCCAGGCCAUGGGCUGGUCACUCUUCCGCUUAAAGUCCACCCUCCUCCCCUGCGUGCCUGGUCCUCUACCAUCUGGCCUCAGCCCGCCCUGACUGUCAGGUGCCUUGCACCCCAUCCCAGCCCGAUCCUCCAACCCAGAUACACCCCACUGUCUCCCUCUGACUCUGAGCCCCCCCCGGAAAGGACUCCGGCCCAGGCCUUAGUAGUCUUCGCCUCCUCCCUGGUGCCUGGCAAACAGCACACAAAUGAACGCCAUCAGCAGAGAGCCAGACGGAGCAGAGCUGCUGAGACGGGGGAGAUGUUCCAUCCGGGCUGUCGCCUGGUUGGCUGAGUGGCCUAGGUGGGAAAGGAGGAAUCAGUCAAAGCCAAACUUCUGCCAGCCUCACGGAGCCUGAGCUUGUCACCAAGAACCUGUGCCUGUCCCCUUCUGCCAAGAGAUGGACCAACCCACUCCCGGGGGAAGAUCACGUGGGACAAUUCUGUGCGGGGCUCUAGGCUGUCCCCAGGAAGCUCCAGAAACUUUUUCCCCUCCAUCUGCAGGAAGCUGGCAAAGUCCCAACCCUCAGAGGGCUUCACAGAUAGUGGGAGACCUGGCCUGGACCACUGCGGGCUUAGGGAAGUGGGAACCCCUGGUUCCGGUGAUGGCCAGGGGCCCUGACUUCCCUUCCUUCCAGGAGCACAGCCCUCUGGCGGGACACCUGGGCCUCCGAAGCUUGGGAGAUGCAAGCCCGCCCCCUGGUGGUUACACGUCAUAAUCGCAGCUCAACAACCUGUCUCCACCCUCCCAGGCCUCCGGGCAAAGCCAGGCCUGGGCAGCACUGGCCAGGGGGCGGCUGGCAACCACAAUCACCUGGCUCUGAAGGCCUCAUGGCCCAGGUGAAAGGAAAGUUAUGGUUCUACAGGAGCAAAGCAGCAUGGAAGUGUCACACACAUACACAGAAAUCUCUGCCUUUUAUUCUGUUUUUAGAAAUAAGGAUACAGGUCAGUGAGGUCAAAUAACCCACUUAUAGCCGUUCAGCCUGUAAGCAUCGCUCCUGGGCCAAAUCACAUUCACCUGGUCCUAGGCGUCUGCCUCCAUCACGUAAGACAACAGGACUUGGCCGUGGCAGUUAACUGAUGCUGGACAUCAGAGUGGC